rnacentral:rRNA from 1 species
UACGAAGGGUGCAAGCGUUACUCGGAAUUACUGGGCGUAAAGCGUGCGUAGGCGGUUUGUUAAGUCCGUUGUGAAAGCCCUGGGCUCAACCUGGGAAUUGCAGUGGAUACUGGCGAGCUAGAGUGCGGUAGAGGAUGGUGGAAUUCCCGGUGUAGCGGUGAAAUGCGUAGAGAUCGGGAGGAACACCCGUGGCGAAGGCGGCCAUCUGGACCAGCACUGACGCUGAGGCACGAAAGCGUGGGGAGCAAAAAGG